ensembl:lncRNA
AUGGACCUUAGCCUGCCAGGCUCCUCUCUUCAUGGGAUUCUCCAGGCAAGAAUACUGGAGUGGACUGCCAUUCCCUCCUCCAGGAGGUCUUUCUGACACAGGGAUCGAACCCAUGUCUCCUGCAUCUACUGUGUUGGCAGGGGAACUCUUUACCACUGAGCCACCUGGGAAGCAGAGAAGGGAUGAGAGUUGAUGAAUGGAGACGAUCCAAGAAGAAAACAACCGUAUCAGAGAUAACUUUGAGCCAAGUUCCUAAGCUCCCAAGGAUAUUGGUUUGUUCUUAUAUACCAGUUGAAGCUGAAGCUCCAGUACUUUGGCCACCUGAUGUGAAGAGCCGACUUAUGGGAAAAGACCCUGAUGCUGCAAAAAUUUGUGGGCAAGAGGAAAAGAGAGUGAGUGACAGAAAAUGAGAUGGUUGGAUGGCAUCACCAAAUCAAUGCAAACAAAUUUGAGAAAACUCAGGGAGAUAGUGAAGAACAGGGAAGCCUGGCAUGCUGCAGUCCAUGGGAUCGCAGAAUUAGACACAACUUACUCAGAUGGUAAAGCAUCUGUCUGCAAGACAGGAGACCCGGGUUCGAUCCCUGGGUUGGGAAGAUCCCCUGGAGAAGGAAAUGGCAGCCCACUACAGUAUUCUUGGCUGGAAAAUCCCAUGGACGGAGGAGCCUGGUAGGCUACUGUCCAUGGGGUUGCAAAGAGUCGGAUACGACUGGGCGACUUCACUUCUCUUUAGAGACUGAACAGUGAAUGACAGCUGUAUACCAUUAGGGUUAUACCAUGGAGAAGAAACUUUGUUUAUACCUGUUACUCCCCAUUGCAAAAAAAGCAUUAUGAAAAGUUCUAAACUCAGUUCCUGUCUAACAUUUUUCUGAACUGUAUUAUAGUGGUUUCAUUUACUCACACGGCCCUGUUCCUAGCUUCCAG